rnacentral:rRNA from 1 species
AGAAUCAACGCUGGCGGCGUGCCUAACACAUGCAAGUCGAACGCGGUUAUUUCAGCUCCGCAAGGAGUUGUUAUAACUGAGUGGCGAACGGGUGAGUAACACGUGGGUGAUCUACCUUCGAGCGGGGGAUAACGUUCCGAAAGGAACGCUAAUACCGCAUGACGUUCUGGGAUUAAAGACCUGGAAACCAAAGCUGGGGACCGCAAGGCCUGGCACUUGGAGAGGAGCCCGCGUCCGAUUAGCUAGUUGGCGGGUAAUGGCCCACAAGGCGACGAUCGGUA